CGUCUAACGACGUGCACUUGCUGAUCGGGUCUUCCUUUCCAAGGGCGCAGUCUGUUCUUUACUGAGUGGACUGCGGCACUUGGGACUUUUACUUUGAAAAAAUUAGAGUGUUCAAAGCAGGCUUACGCUUGAAUACAUUAGCAUGGGAUAAUAGAAUAGGACUUUGGUUCUAUUUUGUUGGUUUCUAGGACUGAAGUAAUGAUUAAUAGGGACAGUUGGGGGCAUUAGUAUUUCGUUGU
rnacentral:rRNA from 1 species